rnacentral:rRNA from 1 species
AAGGUAUUCCAUACCUUUUCCUCAACACACUAGAUCCCAUUAGAAAUCCGUAGUUAAGCACGCUUAGGCUAGAGUAGUACUGGGAUGGGUGACGCUCGAGAAGUUCUAGUAUUUUACAUGC